UAGGGUUGCGAAAGUAUCGCAACCUGAUCUCGCGAGCUCCUUCAGGUUGCGAUACUUUCGCUUCUUCUAGUAAAGAGUAAAAUUCGGGAGUACAUCCGUACUCCCGUUUUCUUACA
rnacentral:misc_RNA from 1 species